GAGCUGUGGCUCAGCGGGCUGGUUUGCUCACUGGAGAACUCCCGUUCCCCUUAAUGCGAGGGCAUUAAAUCGUGUUGCCAUGGGAAGGGCUGUUUGUUACCUAUUGCACCAGGAUCUGCAGCUGGGGAGGAUGGAGAAACAGUAUCGGUUAAAUCAACAUUCUGCUUGACAAGCACUUGGAUCUGGACUCAUACUCCCUCUGCUAGUCACUGAGCAAAGAUGACAAGAUGAGGAGUACACUUGCCGUGAGAACCUUGUGCAAUGGAGAAAGAGUAUUUCCCAGGGUCUUGCCUUGUGGAUGCAGCACGUGUGCUCAGCGUUGCACAGACGGCAUCUGCUGGGUAACUGCAGAACAUCAUGGGACUGCUCUCAAGUCUUGAUUCAUGUAAAUAACUCUUCCAGGGCAACCAAUAAAUAAUCUUGAUAUUUUA